rnacentral:tRNA from 1 species
GCGGGAAUAGCUCAGUUGGUAGAGCACGACCUUGCCAAGGUCGGGGUCGCGAGUUCGAGUUCCCCGUAGGUUCGUCGUUUCCCGCG